AAGGUUUUAAGUUAAGCAAACUAAUAGCCUUCAAAGCUGUAAAUAAAAUACCACGUUUUUAAACCUUA
rnacentral:tRNA from 1 species